AUACGUAGGGUGCAAGCGUUAUCCGGAAUUAUUGGGCGUAAAGAGCUCGUAGGCGGUUUGUCGCGUCUGCUGUGAAAACCCGAGGCUCAACCUCGGGCCUGCAGUGGGUACGGGCAGACUAGAGUGCGGUAGGGGAGAUUGGAAUUCCUGGUGUAGCGGUGGAAUGCGCAGAUAUCAGGAGGAACACCGAUGGCGAAGGCAGAUCUCUGGGCCGUAACUGACGCUGAGGAGCGAAAGCAUGGGGAGC
rnacentral:rRNA from 1 species